rnacentral:rRNA from 1 species
UACGUAGGGGUGCGAGCGUUGUCCGGAAUUAUUGGGCGUAAAGAGCUUGUAGGCGGUUUGUCGCGUCUGCUGUGAAAAUCCGGGCUCAACUCCGGACUUGCAGUGGGUACGGCAGGCUAGAGUGUGGUAGGGGAGACUGGAAUUCUGGUGUAGCGGUGAAAUGCGCAGAUAUCAGGAGGAACACCGAGUGCGAAGGCAGGUCUCUGGGCAACAACUGACGCUGAGGAGCGAAAGCGUGGGGAGCGAACAGG